rnacentral:rRNA from 1 species
CCUACGGGUGGCAGCAGUGAGGAAUAUUGGUCAAUGGGCGCGAGCCUGAACCAGCCACGUAGCGUGAAGGAUGACUGCCCUACGGGUUGUAAACUUCUUUUAUAAAGGAAUAAAGUGAGGCACGUGUGCCUUUUUGUAUGUACUUUAUGAAUAAGGAUCGGCUAACUCCGUGCCAGCAGCCGCGGUAAUACGGAGGAUCCGAGCGUUAUCCGGAUUGAUUGGGUUUAAAGGGAGCGUAGAUGGGUUGUUAAGUCAGUUGUGAAAGUUCGCGGCUCAACCGUAAAAGUGCAAUUGAUACUGGCAGUCUUGAGUGCAGUUGAGGUAGGCGGAAUUCGUGGUGUAGCGGUGAAAUGCGUAGAUAUCACGAAGAACUCCGAUGGCGAAGGCAGCUUACUAAACUGCCACUGACAUUGAUGCUCGAAAGUGUGGGUAGCAAACAGGAUUAGAUACCCUGGUAGUC